UAGCUUCUCGGAAUGUUGUGGACCCGAAGUGUGAGUCAUACCCUAUGGAGUAGUGAAUAGUCUGUUAAAGAAGAUCGAACAAAGAGAUUGAUGAACUUACAUUUCGUUUAAUCGUGGAUUGGUAUUACGUUGAUAUUGAAAAUAUUCUUGAUAUUACACAGAUGAUGCAGAAUCGUGAAUCAUAUCCUAGAAAAGAAAAAUUCCAUUGUUCGGAUAUAGCACAGUUAAAAUUAUUUGUGGAAACAUUGAGUAUCUUUUGUCCAUUUAAUAUUCUUUGUCGAAAGGAAAGCUACGUUUUCCUUUCUAUAGUAGAAAGUAGCGAGUAGAUAUUAUUGAUUCGUUUCUUAUUUUACGAGAAUUGUACUUUGGAGAACUUUACUAUUUACUCGACAAUUUCGACAAAGUGUAUACGUCAGAACGAUUGCAUUUUUUAUGAUUUAAUGUCUUGAGAAAUUUUCUUGUUUUGCUUUGUAACAAAAAAGAAAUAAAAUAAAAUAAAAAAAGGAAGUAAAAAAAAAAAGAAAAGAAAAGAUACGAUUAGUGCAUAAACUUUAAACGUCAUUUGAAGUUUACUCGAGAGCAAUACUACACAAGAAACUUGCCACUUACCGUUUUGCAAUUCGUUGCUCAACAAAGUACAAUUACAUCUACGAUUCUAAAUUCUUGGCAAUAUUAAAUACACAGAAGAUAGAUCUAUAUCGAGAAAUAAAUCCAACGAAUCAGUAUCUUUUCGUUCGAUAAAAGUAAUCUUCCAUCCGUGCGAAAGAUCUACCUAGAAAACAAAGAGAAACAAAAAUUUAAAAAGAACAAAAGUCUAACGAGACUAGAGAAAAAUGUACAAAUUUUUAAAGGGCACCUGAAUCGCAGAAGACGUUCCUGAAACAUUCGCGCAUGCACACAAAGCAGUUGAUUAUCCUAAAGACGAAUUUUCUAUGAUCGUUCGGCGAAUUUUAGAUCUUAAUGUUUCCUGAGGCUGGUUUUAAAAGGAGAGAGAAAAAGAGAGAGAGAGAGAGAGGAAAGAUAGAGAGAGAGAGAGAGAGAGAGAGAGAGAGAGGGAGGGAGUAAAAAGAUGAAGAAAGAGAAAGAGAACGACGAUGUAUAGAGAUCAUAGUCGAGAAGGAGGAAGAAAGAGGAUGAGGAGGGAAAAAAGAUAGAAGGAGGAGGAUAAGGGGUUAGGAGGAGGGCACCAGUAAAAUAUCUCUCUCUCGAGCGAAGGAGAAAGGAGAAUCGGCCGGCACAUGGGUCUGCGGGUCGAUACUCUAGCACCGGAGAGAACGCUCAGUACACUUGCACUCGGCCGAGUACGUCUGCACCGGGGACGCCUGGCCGCUCGCCCUAGCUGUGCGUACAACAUGAGUACUUGGUGGGGGAAGAAUGCUCGUACUCGUGAAUGAAGAUCGAAUUUUGGGUUCGGCCGAUCUUUGAAUAAAUAAUAAUUCGAUCGUCGAUACCUUGUUUAUAUACAUCUCUCGAGGCCGUCAAAGUUACGAGGAUGGUGUCUCUGAAUUAUUUCGGUGUGGAAAUGAUCUAUAUAAUGAAGUAAUGACGGGCCAUCGUCCGAGAGAAGAUAGAGAGAGGCUAAUGGUCCCUGUUACUACGUGGAAGAAGAGAAGGAAGAAGAAGAAAAUGUGCUUUCGUCUAUAGCCCGAGCAUCUUGAAGAAUUUUAUCUCCAAGUGUAGAGAGGAAGAGUCCCCAGCACCUUUCAGUAGGGAUACAUAUGUAUGUCUGCUCGGAUAUACAUCGUAUCAAUGUAGAUAGAAAUAAAAGAACACAAAUGUAUGUACCUGUUGUGUAAGUAUACAUCGACGUAUACACAUAUGAGUUUUACUAUGCACGCGACAUAACACAGCCCUUUUUCUUUCACGCAGGGCAACCUUUGUCUGCCGUCAAAGCAUAUCGAUUGCAAGCCGUAUCCCAUGGAAAUCCUUUGCACCGUCGACAUCAACAACGACGACGUCACCUGAAAGCACAAAUUUUGAAUUAAUUCAACGUACUGUCAGAACGUUUGUUCGUUUAAUUCAAAAGAUAUCGAUUUCUCAUUCUCUUCAGUAUGAUCUGCCUGAUGCUCGUGACGUA